rnacentral:rRNA from 1 species
UAUAGCAGUCAUAUCACCCUGUAGUCCCAGGCUGGUUGCCCACUGAAGCUAAGCAGGGCUGAGCCUGGUCAGUACCUGGAUGGGAGACCUCCUGGGAAAACUAGGUUGCUGCUGGAA